UCCAUAAGUGAAUUGCCUUCUUACUCAUACGAGUUCUUUGAAUCAGAGAGAGAAAGAAAAAGAAUACCACACUUGCAACAGUUGGAUAAAAAAUUGUCACCCAUAUCUUCUCCAAACUUGACAGAGGAGUUGGUGGAUGAAGGCACUGAACCUGGUUGCUUGGACCAACAACAUGCGCUUGGAGAAGCAAUCGUAACAACUGAAAAUGCUCAAACGACUAUCAUACCACAUAGUAUUAAGGACGAAGGAAAGAAAGGCAUCCAAGACGAGCCAGAAUCGAAUGAAGAUAAAAUAAAAACUUUGUCAACUGAGUCUAUUGACAAUGUUUCUGAUGAUAAUGUUGGGGCUCUUCCAGAAUUAGGAGCAUAUAAGCGCCUUGUUGAUCUUGAUGAUGCACAAUUUGCUUUGCUGGCGGAGGGAAUAGCAGUGUAUCCUAAUCUUUGGAAUGUCCGUGAACAGAUUAGUGAGCGCUUGAAAGCUUUGAAGUUGAAAACUUUAGUGGAUAUACUGGCAUUCCUCAGAAACGAGAGUGCAGUUAGCGUUACUCCUCAGAAGGAAAAGGAGUUCCAUAUACUAUG